CUCAAAACAGGAUGUAUUCUUAUUUUCUGACAUCAGUAGAGACAUUUUCAGGCAGUGUUGGUUUUGGUAGAAGCUAUGAUUAUCUUGGAAUGUGGAAUCCUCUUUAUGUUAUGAUUGAGUUGUUUAUAGGUUUUGAAGCAUUGUUGGCUUACAUUGGAAUUAUUGGGAACUACACUUACAAUUAUUCCCAGUCAGUUUAAAGGAUCACUAUAGUGUCAGGAAAACAAACUUGUUUUCUUAACACUAUAUAAUCCUUAGGUCCCCCCAUCCAUCCGGGCCC